GCCUCACUUAGCAGACUCUAUUCACAUUUUUUGGAUAAAAACCUGCCCCGUCCCUCUUUCUCUCUCUUAAUCGUGUUAUGCUCUCCUCUCAACCCUAACUCCCUACCACUCUCUCACUUCUCAUCAAGAAAUUUCAAGAUCUACUCCCAUUCUUGAAGAUGAUGCCUCAAUUUCAAGAAAUACGACAAAUUGAAGACAAAAUUCAAAGACUUUGAGGUAUUAAUCUGUCUCCAAUGUUCUGAAUCUGUUGGAUAUUUAGGUUCUUGCCUCAAGUUGAUUUUUUAUUCCUCGUAUGUGAAUUGAAAUCCGCCGUUUAUGCAUUUGUUUAAUAGUCGUCUUUUCUUUCUCUCUCUAGUUCUCCGUUAGAUUUAGUUCUCUUGACUACAUAUUCGAUUUUUGUUGUGUUUUUAUUCGGGUAUAUUUUAGGUUUUCUACACUUUUCAUAUCUUUUUAGUCAUUAUGUUUUAUUGAUAUGAAUCUCUAAUUUAUGAUUCGACUCCGAUAUGUAAAUUAGGUUUUUCAAUUUUUUUUUUCCCAUUUCAGUUAAGCAUAAGAAAUUUGGGAAAGAAACUACAGCUUAUUGUGUAAAUUUGAGUUUUCAGAUGUUUGUUCCUAGUUAAAUUUAGUAGUACGUGUUUGAUUGGGUUGGAUGAUGUAAAUGUGUGAAUUUAGUUGUAUGCUUAAUUUGUGAAAUACUUGGAUUUGUGAAUUUUAAUAUUAGCGAAUUGUAUUGUAUGAAAUUCAGUGAAAUCAAUAGGGCUAAUUACGAAACAAUAAUACUUGGAUUUUCUUCCUUGUUAUCCUUUCUCUUUACUCUCUUAGUCAUGAUGGUGCUCUGUUAAGUUUUUUAUGUGCUUCAAAUUGUUUUUAAGGACCGAAAAUGAAGUUUUUUUUAUCCUAACUUUAUCUAAUAUGUUUUCUUUAUUAAUAGUGGCUCUUAGUUUGUAUCUUAAUUAAGUUAUAUUUAAUCUUUAUCUAGAAUAAGUAGUUUUAAUUUAUGAAGGAAUAAAUUAUCCAAUUUGGUUAUGUGUUGAAAUUUUACAUAUUGCUUAUUUCAUUCACCUGAUUGUAUAACAUUUAUGGAAUAUUUUCUCAAUCUUUCACUGGCCUCCGGAAAGGAUAAAAGCAAUUUCAGAGGAAGGAAUGUUUUAAAAUGAAUAUGAACAGAGAUUAUGUUUCUUUUCAUCUUAUUUGUACUCUAUUUUACACUCAUAAAAGCAUCAAAAACAUUCUUAGUGUCUGAAGAAGAUGACAGUAAGAUACUAAGUUUACCAGGUCAACCAUCAAACCCGCCCAUCUCACAGUUCUCAGGUUACAUCAUUGUUAACCAAAAUAAUGGCAGGGCCCUUUUUUACUGGUUCUUUGAAGCUCUUUCACAGCCCUUUGAUAAACCUCUUGUACUCUGGCUCAAUGGAGUACCUGGUUGCUCAUCAGUAGGAUAUGGUGCUCUUGUGGAAUUAGGUCCACUUAAAGUUGAUGAAAACGGUGAUGGCUGACUAUUCAAUAACUUAUCGUGGAAUACAGGUAAUUAUCAUCUCAUAUUCAUUACCAUGUCUUUCUUUCAACAACUCAGAAAGUCAGAAUCAUGUUAAACGUGUUAAUAUGCCAUCUUAAUAUUCUACUGAAGAAUGUUUGAAUAGUUGCUCUACUUUCUUCUUCUCCUUUUCUAAUAUUUCUCAAGCAUAAAUGCCUUCUAUCAAACUCCGGACAAGAGAAAUUACUAAAAUUAUGCUAUAGAAUUAAAUGUGCUGGGAACUUUUAUUCCAAUUGGAAAGAGCUAGAAAACGUUGAGUUAAAUAGAGGCCUAGACAUUAAGCCUAGAGAUCGAAGCACGAGAUGACAAAGUUUGGGGAAUAUUACUUGUUGGUCAAAGUAUGCAUUUUUUUCCAUUUUUUAUUUGUGAUAAUUAGUUUAAGUUACUUAAUUUGUAAACUCUUCCAACAAACAUAAUGGGUGAAGAAAAGGACUUUUUGUUUACACUAAGGGGCAAUGUUGGCCUCGUCCCAUUAUCCUAUACGUAAUAUUGAUCUUUCUUUAAUUUGAUCUCUACUAUCAGACCCUUGCAAUAUUUUUUUCAUCUUGACCCACAUUUCCUAACUUCAUUAAUUUUUCCACAUAGGUUUAUGCAACGACUGCCAAAAAUAGAUGAAAGUUGUAAGAUCAUUUUAAUGAUUACAGAGUAACUUUUGUAAUCUUAAUUAAGCUCAGUUGCAACAGGAAGGCAGAUUAAUUUAAUUCUAGUUGUCUAUUUUCACUUCUUGUAUCUUAGCCUGAUUGUUGGUGUUCUGGCCAUUUACUUGAUGGUGAUUUUUGUCCUACAAACAUUAUCUUGUACGUUUGACUUUUCUUUCUUAGUAUAUUCUUGUUUAUGACUUCAAGUGCUUAAGUUUUCCUUUUCAAAAUUGUUUAUGGUUUAUUUGUGCUGAUUAUUUUUAGUUUUGUGGUUAUGCAGAUAUUACCCAUGUCUAUAGACUCACAUCCAAUAGGCCCUAAGCCUCAGAGAAAUUAUGUACUUGUGUGUAUGAUUCAGCCGAAAGGUUAUGAUUUCUGAUUGAGUCAAGCUGGUUUUGGUAGUUAUUGUUGGUUUUGCUUCAAAACAUUUACUUGAUGCUUCACUGUAUUCCAUUCUACUGUACAAGUAUGACAGUCCUCAUCCCUCAAACAUGUCACGUACUAGUUAAUUAGAUGAGGAUGACCCAUACAACUCAUGUUUUCUCGUUUAUUUUCUAUAUCAGCAAUAUAAUUGCAUUCUUGAUUUACAAUGAUUCUUGGUUGUUUGACUUGGAUUAGGAUAUACGUUUACAACUCAGCUGUCCAGACACUUAUUCUUAUUAUUUUUCACUUCUAGUGUAAAACCUUGGUGCACUCAAUAUCGUUGAAAUUUGGGUGCGUGUCAUCGUUUCAUUCUUUACAGUGGAGUUUUCUUAAUUUAUUUUUACACAGUGGGAAAAACUAACUUAUCGUUUUUAUGAUUUUUUUGAGGUCCGUGAUGCAUUUGAAGAUUAUGGUGGUGGAAGAAAGGAAUCAAGGGAUGAUGCGUAGCUCCCUCUACUAUGAAGCUCAUACUCUUGAACUUAUAGGCUUCGAUUGGCCUUUGUUUUCAAGAUGAAACUUUAGACUAAUAGGUUUUUGUAUUACUAAUUUUAUACAUAAGUUUUUGUAAGUUAAUUUUAUUGUUAAUUGAAGAUCAAUUAUUCACAAUUUAGGUUUUAUUGAUCGA